rnacentral:lncRNA from 1 species
CCAGCGUGUCACUGCUAUCUCCAGACCCACUUACCUAAAAGUUCACUAAGUCCAGCAGCCCAGGGCAACCUCUGGUGGAAGACAGAAGGCAGGUCCAGGAAGGUGGGAGGAGCCAGAGAAGGGGAGCCAAUCAGUGGCCAGAAAGGGGGGGGCGGAACCAGAGAAAGGGAGCCAAUCAGUGGCCAGGAAGGUGGGAGGAGGCGCCACUCAGUGGCCUGAAAGGAGGAAGAGGAGCCAGAGAGGGAGAACCAAUCAGGAAAAGAGGAUGCAGCAGGCUGGGAUUCUUCUUGCAAGGGAAACUGAAGCUUUAGUCUGGGCAGGCAGCGAGCUGGACUGGUAUCGGAGGAAAAGAAGUCUCUACUUUGGCCGCUGCUGUUUGAGUGUGUCUCCCAGCACCAUAAGGCACAGCCAGAUGGGCUGCCGUUGGUUGCAAGCCUGGAAGAGUCAGAAAGAAACCUGAGGCUGUCAAGGAAGCUUGAAGGUGGGUCUUCAACUCUGGGCCCAGAAGGAGCAUCACCUCCACCUGGCCUUGUCUGGUUCAUCUACAGCCUGCAGGAAGAGAGGGGGAGGGGGGAGAGGGGGAAAGGGAGAGAGGAAGAGAGGGGAGAGGAAGACAGGGGAGAGGAAGAGAGAGAGAGGGAGAGGGACAGAGGGAGAGAGGGAGAGGAAGAGAGGAGGGAGGGAGGGAGAGAGAGAGAGAGAGAGAGA